CAACUUCUCUGAUUCUCUCUCCCCCUAAGCAUUUGUGCGCAGGGCCAACCAUUUCAAGAAAAGCAUUAAAUUGUUGCAUAAAGAAUAUGAUUAAACAAAAGCUAUUAUCAAUAGAAUUAAGGUAGGAUAAUUGAUUCCAAUGGCAUCAAGGUUGGCUGCAAGGUUUUUCUCUCGGAGGAUGUCAAGCAGUGGAAAGAUACUGAGUGAAGAGGAAAAAGCUGCAGAAAAUGUUACAUCAAGAAAACUGAGCAAGAGAAGCUUGAGAAGCUUGCACGAAAGGGCCCUAAACCAGAAGACAAAGCAACUGCAGGCCCGGGGGAAUCGAUAACUGAUGCCAAACCAAGUGAUUCGAGCUCAACUGCCAAAGUAUCAACUGACAAGUACAGGAAUUAUGCUGUUGUAGCUGGUGUUAUGACUGCUGCUGCUGCUCUGGGAUGGUAUAUCAAAGGAAGUGAAAAGAAGGCAGAAGUGCAGGACUGAGGUUAAAGUGUCUUGAUGUGGAACAUUUGAACAUCAGUUAGUAUCACGCAGUUAGCAUAGAAAUAAAGCAAACUAUGAACUUUCAAUGUUUCUGUUCUGGCUGGUGUAUACUUUGUUGAGUUUUGAGGCACUGUUUCCGUUUUGACCUCUUCUUUUCCCAGAAAUAUAUACAUGAAUGGAGGAUACCUUUCCAGCAUUCAAUUUCGAGUGAGAUUUUUAUUGUUA